UUUUUGAAAAACUGAAAGACCCCUGGAGUGGGGAGACCCUCACUCAAAUUUCGGGAUGAUGUGACCACCCAAGAACUCACUAGAGACU
rnacentral:pre_miRNA from 14 species